UGGGGAAUAUGCACAAUGGGCGCAAGCCUGAUGCAGCCAUGCCGCGUGUGUGAAGAGGCCUCGGGUUGUAAGCACUUUCAGCGAGGAGGAAGGUGGUGAGCUUAAUACGCUCAUCAAUUGACGUUACUCGCAGAAGAAGCACCGGCUAACUCCGUGCCAGCAGCCGCGGUAAUACGGAGGGUGCAAGCGUUAAUCGGAAUUACUGGGCGUAAAGCGCACGCAGGCGGUUUGUUAAGUCANUGUGAAAUCCCCGGGCUCAACCUGGGAACUGCAUUUGAAACUGGCAAGCUAGAGUCUCGUAGAGGGGGGUAGAAUUCCAGGUGUAGCGGUGAAAUGCGUAGAGAUCUGGAGGAAUACCGGUGGCGAAGGCGGCCCCCUGGACGAAGACUGACGCUC
rnacentral:rRNA from 1 species